CAGUAGCCGCGGUAAUACGAAGGGGGCUAGCGUUGCUCGGAAUGACUGGGCGUAAAGGGCGCGUAGGCGGUUUGUACAGUUGGAUGUGAAAUUCCUGGGCUUAACCUGGGGGCUGCAUUCAAUACGUGCAGGCUUGAGUGUGGAAGAGGGUUGUGGAAUUCCCAGUGUAGAGGUGAAAUUCGUAGAUAUUGGGAAGAACACCGGUGGCGAAGGCGGCAACCUGGUCCAUUACUGACGCUGAGGCGCGAAAGCGUGGGGAGCAAACAGGAUUAGAUACCCGGGUAGUCCCUGUCUCUUAUAC
rnacentral:rRNA from 1 species